GAAAUAGGAUUAGACGUUGUCAUGGUAACGUAACCACCAGCUGCUUCUUUAGCCAUAAACCCCGCUAGCAAGUUAGCUAUUUUAUUUCUUUAUUUAACAUUUUUUUUAACAGUACAUUUUGUUUGUUUAUAAAUAAUUACCCAAUAUUUAUGUGUUUGUUACUUGGUGCGACCGGCGUCGGAAAAACUCUGCUCCUGAAACGUCUGCAAAAGCUGGGUCAGAAGGGUGAACCUGCAGAUGUAGGAGAACCUCCAGCUACCCUGCCCACGGUGGGCACCAACCUGACUGAUUUGACCCUGAGGAAGAGAAGAGUGACCGUGAGAGAGCUAGGAGGCUGCAUGGGUCCCAUCUGGCCCAGCUACUUUAGGGACUGCACAUCUGUGAUUUUUAUGAUAGACUCAGCUAACAUCACACAGAUUUCCUCCUCCUGCAUCCAGCUGCUGGGUGUUCUCUCAGCUACACCACUCCGGUCCGCCUCUGUGCUCGUGCUGUUUAACAAGAGUGACCUUCCCUGUAUCAUGUCCCUAGAGGAAAUAAAAUCACUCUUCAGGAUAGAUGACAUCAUUGCCUCUGCUCCCCAGUCGAUCACAGUUUUGGAGCUCAGUGCUCGCUCUGGAAAGGGCCUUCAGGAAGUGCUCAACUGGCUGGACUCGACUCAACCUGACUGACCUGAAUGAUAUGAAGAUCUGAUCAUGGAAGAUAUUGACACAUAGAGCCUAACAGUACAUAAUAAUGCAAACAUCAGUGCUAGGAUCACAACCUGGUCAGCUUCAUCAAACUGGGCUAAAAAUGCAACGGAGAUGAUAAAAUCAGCUCAACUGUUACAUAAGUUCACACUUUUGUGGUCGAUGAUUUGAUAUGAAAAGGCAAAUUUCAGUCUCGCUAUGGAAGCGGUAAUGAUACUUGUCAGUUUUUUAGAAAUUUUCACAUCUGCUCUUUAGCAUGAAAAAAAAAUUCUUGACAUCCUUUGUAAAUGCCCGGUCAUGGCUGCGGUGGUAUAAAUGAUGCUACGAGUUUGUGUAUAAUUUAUAAAAUGCAAAAAAGUGUAAUUAGAAUUCAUCACAGGCGGGUGCAAACGGUUAAAGUACUUGUGCGAGUGGAGAUAAAACACACUUCUGUGCAUCCCAAAAGUGAUGAGAUUGAGGAAAUGUCUCUGGGUCUUCUAAUUCAAGCGAAGAGAACAUUGUAUGACACUUUAUCCAAAGAUGUCCUACAGAAUUGUAUGCCUCCAACUUUUGUCAGAGCACCAAAUAUGUCUGGAAAAGUUUGGUGUCCCAAUACUUUUGUCGAUAUAGCGAGAUGCAUUUUCAUUCCUAUAUUUGGAGCAGCAGCUGAGAGCCAUGUCUGAUUUGAGGGAACAGGACUGGGGGUGGUCUGAGGAGCAUCCCACGGGUCAGGAGGAUGUGACCGAUGGUCCCAAGGUUGAGAAUGAAUACUGGAAGGUCCUGGACAGAAGCUGCUUGCACCUCGGGCUGAGGAGCUUUGUUCUGUUUAAAAAUAUGGCAAUGUCAUACUGCAGUAGCACAAAUUACCACUUUCCAAGUUUGUAGAAUUUAAGGGUUAUAUUUAUAUUAAGUUUGUAAUCUGGCGUACCAGUGUAGAUUUAUUUAUUACUAGAGACUCAAAGCACUUUUGUACGUUGCUCUGGAAAAGGGCGUCUGCUAAAUGCAGCCAAUGUAAAUGUAAAUGCAGUAGUUUUAUGGUUUCUAAAAGGUUUAAUAAUGGCAACUGCUGGAGGAUCAGAAGUUCAGCCCAACACACCUUGUUCACUCUGUGAUUUCAAAAAGAGAUUAAUGAAGGUAUGGUCAUUUCAGAUUAUGGUUUUCAUAACGUUUCUCAAGAUUAUACAAUUAUUCUACAAAAUAGUGCACCAUUUGUAAAGAGGGGACAACAGUAGAUAUUUGUAUUUACUGUACAUAUGUUUUUCUCCUGGUAAAUUGAUACUUAUUUGAAAUGAUUAAAUAAAGGGAUUGGUUAUCAUCUGU